GAUGAAGAACGUAGCGAAAUGCGAUAAGUAGUGUGAAUUGCAGAAUUCAGUGAAUCAUCGAAUCUUUGAACGCACAUUGCGCCCCUUGGUAUUCCGAGGGGCAUGCCUGUUCGAGCGUCAUUAUAACCCCUCAAGCUCAGCUUGGUGUUGGGGCCUGCUGCACUGGCAGCCCUUAAAAUCAGUGGCGGCGCCAUCUGGCUCUAAGCGUAGUAAUUCUUCUCGCUAUGGAGUCCUGGUGGAUGCUUGCCAUCAACCCCCAAUUUUUCUAUGGUUGACCUCGGAUCAGGUAGGGAUACCCGCUGAACUUAAGCAUAUCAAUAAGCGAAGGA
rnacentral:misc_RNA from 1 species